CCCAGCCUCCGCCACCUCCGGAGUUUCCGCCUGACUCAAAUGAGAAGGAUGCGACGGUUUCCGUUUCCCCAUCUUUAGGCUCCGCGACGACUCCCUACUCCGUAUUUAUCCGUUGCCUUCCUGAAUAGUGGCCAAGCUUAUUCCCGCUUGGGAGUUAGAGGGAGAAGGUACAAAGGAACCCGAGGGAACACCGAAUCUCACCACUUCCACCCCAGCUCAACUUGGCUGAUCUCCCGAGGCCCAGUGCCAGAGGCAAGGAGGUACAAAAGAACCCCAAGGAACGCCGACACCUCCCAUCACCCAGUGUUCCCGGCCAAGCCGAGCUUUGCCAAUACCUCAGGACCCCGAGUGGAGAGAGGAAAUACGAAGGAAUCCUAGAGGAUGUGAACCCCCCCCCCCAACCCUCCCACAUGUUCUGCAAGGAUACUAAGGAAUCCGUGGAAACACUGACUCCCUUCCCCACACACACGUGUAACCACCAGAGGAAGCACAGGAAGAUGAGCCAGUAAUCCAGAAGGGGAAAGGUUUGCACCCCUUAAUUUUUGCCUGAGUAAGUGAAAGGGAAGCAGGUAGCUUAAGUGCUAGCUUGUAUGGGGUCAGAGAUGAACAAAAAAAUGGGCGUCCUGCCACCGGGAGCACAACCACAAAGGCAAAACUACCUCUGAUGUUGCUUUCUGAGGGUUAACAUCCCAAGAUAUAAAAGUCAUUAUGGAAAGUGGUGUGGUGCUAUCAAAUGCUACAUAAACAUUAGAGGCAAGUGCCUUUUGGUACUCCACAGAAAAGUUCUAAAUCAAUCUGAUCCUGCUGAUUGUACUUGUAACUACACAUCUUAAUCUGAAAAUUAAGAUUAAAUUAUUAAAUAUCGCCAUUAAUGCUUCUUCCCUCCAACAAUCUAACACUUGGUUAAUCACUUACUACAGCUACAUAAAGUUUCUGUUUGCCA